rnacentral:misc_RNA from 1 species
UGUAAAAAAAAAAAAAAAAAAUGCCACUGGUAAAGGCAUGCUGAUUAUUUGGGAUGGGAAAUUCAUAUCACAUUAGGAAAUGAAUCAAUUUAUGAAGAAUAGAAUAAGAAUCAUUCAAUAUGCAAUACGUGUGCAAAAUAUAGCAGAUUAAGGUCCCUGUACAAAUCUAAAGUUUGGGCGGAAUGUGGCUGAAUUUCAUUUGUUUUGGUGUUCUUUUAUAUUGUUAAAAAAAUGUCAAUAUUUUCAUACUCACUGCAUGUUUUGAAAUUUUGAUUUGAAUUAUUCUCAGAUUAAGUAAAAAGAAAAAAAAUUGAUAGUGAAGGCUGCUUUGCUCCUUUGUUGUGAAGUUUAACAUUUUAAGUAUGCCUUGAUGGAAUUGCCUUCAAGGGCAUUCUUGGAUAGGUGUCUAAUUAUAUCAAAUAACUUGAAGUAACUCAUAAAUUCUUGUAUUUGGGUUUGUAGGUUUAGCUGGAAAUGGCAAAAG